CGACACCCAACCAAGACGGCUAAUAGGAGGAGGGGAAGCAGAUAUACAGCUAUUCCCUGAGUUACGCGAAUAAUGCGUCCCGGAGACAUUUGUGUAUCUCAGAUUUUUGCCAAUUUCAAUGUUACCUGCUCUUCAGUUCACUCUAAAUUUGUAGAGCCCAUGCUGGGCCAAGGCAUAAAUCAAAAUCAACACCAAAAUUUAGUUACGCCUAAAAGGAAGGAAAUUACUCGAAAACUUGACAAUCGAUCUGGAAUCGUUACACCUAUCUUGAAAUUAACUAAUAAUGGUCUGAAAUUUAAAUCACAAGUAAUUUAUAAAAUACAAAACACUUAAACGAUCAUCGUUGGUCAUUGGUUUAGGUUCAGAUAUUAGCUCUUGAUGUCGGUAUCAUUUAAAAAUGUUAUGCCAA